AUACGGAGGGUGCAAGCGUUAAUCGGAAUUACUGGGCGUAAAGCGAGUGCAGGCGGCUGCGUAAGUCGGAUGUGAAAGCCCUGGGCUUAACCUGGGAAUGGCAUUCGAAACUGCGCAGCUAGAGUCUGGUAGAGGGAAGUGGAAUUCCAGGUGUAGCGGUGAAAUGCGUAGAUAUCCGGAGGAACACCAGUGGCGAAGGCGGCUUCCUGGAUCAAUACUGACACUGAGGCGCGAAAGCGUGGGGAGCAAACAGGAUUAGAUACCCCAGUAGUCC
rnacentral:rRNA from 1 species